CCUACGGGAGGCAGCAGUGAGGAAUAUUGGUCAAUGGACGAGAGCCUGAACCAGCCAAGUCGCGUGAAGGAUGACUGCCCUAUGGGUUGUAAACUUCUUUUAUAAAGGAAUAAAACGCGGCACGUGUGCCUUUUUGCAUGUACGUUAUGAAUAAGGAUCGGCUAACUCCGUGCCAGCAGCCGCGGUAAUACGGAGGAUCCGAGCGUUAUCCGGGUUUAUUGGGUUUAAAGGGAGCGUAGAUGGUUUGUUAAGUUAGUGGUGAAAGUUUGCGGCUCAACCGUAAAAUUGCAGUUGAUACUGGCAUACUAGAGUACAGUAGAGGUAGGCGGAAUGCGUGGUGUAGCGGUGAAAUGCUUAGAUAUCACGAAGAACUCCGAUUGCGAAGGCAGCCUGCUGGACUGUAACUGACGCUGAUGCACGAAAGUGUGGGUAUCGAACAGGAUUAGAUACCCGGGUAGUC
rnacentral:rRNA from 1 species